rnacentral:lncRNA from 1 species
GCUGGUCCUCCCAGGUCCGGAGAGCUUCGUUAGUGCCGGCGGCGGUUGUAGAGGUGAGGACAGGAGACUGGCUCCCCCGACUGGGGGGAGGAGGGCGGGAGUCCUUGGAACACGAUCGAGGGUCUCUGAGGACUGUGUACCCCAGAGGGAUACACAGAAGAGGGAAGAUCAAGAGAAGACAAGAAGAGUCUUCAGGGCCAUCCAUAAGGAAACAGCUUUUCGGAGGAAGCCGACACGCAGACUCAGGGAAGGAACCUUGCAGAUGAGUGGGGAUCUUCACAUGCAAGAACGACAAGAAAAGAUUUUUUUUUUUCCCCCAGAGCUGAGGACCGAACCCAGGGCCUUGCGCUUGCUAGGCAAGCGCUCUACCACUGAGCUAAAUCUCCAACCCCAAGAAAAGAUUUUUAAUCCAAAAAUUUAAAUAAUCCGAUGACAGACUCAAAAGAGCAGAUGGUGAAGAGAGCCCUCAGACAGGUGAUAGAGGAACAUUAAGGCCAGAGGACUAUGGCUAGUUGUGUGUCAGUGGGAACUGACAAUUGCUGAAAAUACAGACACGUUUCACUAUAUUCACUACACUCAAUUUAUGGAAUCAACUUAAGGAAAAUAUUUCAUGUAUCAUGAAAUAAGAGAAUGAGCCAGCGGGGAUUUUUUUUUUCAGAGCAGGAUCUUAAGAAUUCUUACCCUUCUUGUCUCAGCCUUCCAAGUAAUGAGAUUACAUGUGUUCACCACCACACCCAGGUCUUCUUGGCUGGCCUCUGUAGAGGAGCUGAAGAUUGAUCAGUACGGAUCUCUAAGCCUAGAACAUUCUCUUUCUUGUCCUCCAGAUUAACUUUAAUUCUUGAAGACGUAAGUCAGCUCCCAGCAUACUCUGAACUAGGUAUGUGACCAUUUGAGGGGUUGCAAAACAUCCCAGCCUGGAAUACAGAAGAUCUUUGAGAUUUUUUAAGACAGCAUUUCUCUGUAUGGCCCUGACUGUCCUAAAACUUAAACUAGAAUAGCCUUGAACACAGAAAUCUGUCUUUCUCUGCCUCUUAAGUACUGGGAUAAAAGGUAUGUACUACCACCCCCAAAGAAAAAAUUAGAAUUUUUAAGGUUCCCCAUGUGUGUGUGUGUGUGUAUGUGUGUAUAUGUAUGUAUGUAUAUAUAUAUAUAUAUAUGCAUAUAUAUAUAUAUAUAUAUAUAUAUAUAUAGAGAGAGAGAGAGAGAGAGAGAGAGAGGUGUCCAGAAUUAAGAAGGCUAAAAGAAAAAGGUAGGCUGAGGCAGAAGGAUAAUAGGUUAAAAGGAAGACCACCCUGUAUUAGUGAGACUGUCAAAACAUCAAACAGGUGCUGGUGAGAUGGCUCAGUGGGUAAGAGCACCGGACUGCUCUUCCGAAGGUCCGGAAUUCGAAUCCCAGCAACCACAUGGUGGCUUACAGCCAUUUAUAAUGAGAUCUGACUCCCUCUUCUGGAGUGUCUGAGGACAGCUAUAGUGUACUUACAUAUAAUAAAAAUAAAUAAAUCUUAAAAAAAAAAUCAAACAGGCUGGUGAGAUGACUCCAGUGGCACUUGCUGCCAUUUCUGACUACCUGAGUCCAAUCCCUGGGACUGGCCCUCUGACCUUAUAAAUAAAUAUUUUAAAAAAAAAAAAAAAACAAGAAAGAAUAAAAGUAUUCCCUACUA